GCCCUCGUAGCUCAGUGGAUAGAGCACCGGCCUCCGGAGCCGGGGGCGCAGGUUCGAGUCCUGCCGAGGGUACCA
rnacentral:tRNA from 1 species